rnacentral:lncRNA from 7 species
GAAUCAGCCGUCGCCGUCGCACCUUCCACUUCGCCAGCGGCAUCUUCCUUGCGCCGCCGGCGCCCGGCCAGAUCACAGCCGGUCUGCUUGCCUGCUAUGCGGUGGUAGCGUUUUCCAUUAACGCUCCCAUUUCGAUUGACGAACCAAGCAGCAGCUAUGUCGAUGAUACCGUAUCGUGGCAACGUAGUGUCGGUUGGUUUCUUUGCCCUUCACUGAAGUACUGAACACUUCGUGAAGCUAUCAACUAUCAUGUCUGUCAGAGGUCCUGCUUCAUAUUUCUUACUAUUACUAUGAUUUUACUACUAACACUUUGUUCUCUAUUGAACCAUGACCAGCGCUUGUAUUUUUUCCUUUCAAUUGCACGUUUAACUGUUGGGGUUCAAGCUUCAAACACAUCUGAUUUUUUUUUUAAUUCUAGCAUUCACUUGUGCUGCUGCUGAAUUGUUUCAUUGGGUUGUGCCUGCUCAUUUUCAUUUACUUUCUGAAUGAAC